UUGACCUCAAAUCAGGCGGGACUACCCGCUGAACUUAAGCAUAUCAAUAAGCGGAGGAAAAGAAACUAACAAGGAUUCCCCUAGUAACUGCGAGUGAAGCGGGAUGAGCUCAAAUUUAAAAUCUGGCGUCUUCGGCGUCCGAGUUGUAAUUUAGAGAAGCGUUUUCCGCGCUGGACCGUGUACAAGUCUCCUGGAACGGAGCGUCAUAGAGGGUGAGAAUCCCGUCUUUGACACGGACCCCCAGUGCUCUGUGAUACGCUCUCGAAGAGUCGAGUUGUUUGGGAAUGCAGCUCAAAAUGGGUGGUGAACUCCAUCUAAAGCUAAAUAUUGGCGAGAGACCGAUAGCGAACAAGUACCGUGAGGGAAAGAUGAAAAGCACUUUGGAAAGAGAGUGAAACAGUACGUGAAAUUGUUGAAAGGGAAACGCUUGAAGUCAGUCGCGUUUGCCGAGACUCAGCCGCAAGGUGUACUUCUCGGUGGACGGGCCAGCAUCACUUUCGAUCAUCGGAAAAGGGCGAGUGGAAUGUGGCACCUCCGGGUGUGUUAUAGCCUCUCGUCGUAUACGGUGACCGGGAGUGAGGACCGCCUUUGUAGGAUGCUGGCGUAAUGGCUUUAAACGACCCGUCUUGAAACACGGACCAAGGAGUCUAACAUGCCCGCGAGUGUUUGGGUGGAAAACCCAUGCGCGUAAUGAAAGUGAAAGUUGGGAAGGCUGUCGUGGCCUGCACCGACGCCCGGACUUGAGAUUUAUCGAAGGUUCUGCGGUAGAGCGUGUAUGUUGGGACCCGAAAGAUGGUGAACUAUGCCUGAAUAGGG
rnacentral:rRNA from 1 species